rnacentral:rRNA from 1 species
UGCCAGCAGCCGCGGUAAUACGGAGUGUGCAAGCGUUACUCGGAAUCACUGGGCUUAAAGCGCACGUAGGCGGAAAUGCAAGUCGAUUGUGAAAGCCCCCGGCUCAACCGGGGAAUUGCACUCGAAACUGCGUUUCUUGAGGACGAGAGGGGAGAGCGGAACUUCUGGUGGAGCGGUGAAAUGCGUAGAUAUCAGAAGGAACGUCGGUGGCGAAAGCGGCUCUCUGGCUCGUUUCUGACGCUGAGGUGCGAAAGCGUGGGGAGCAAACAGGAUUAGAUU